GAAAUGCGAUAAGUAGUGUGAAUUGCAGAUACCGUGAAUCAUCAAAUCUUUGAACGCAUAUUGCACUGUCUGGAACUCCGGACAGUAUACCUGUUUGAGUAUCAGUUAACACUCUUUCUACCUACUCGUUUUCUGGGUGAUAGAAAGGAUUUGAGUUUUCAUCUACUCUAGUAGUAGGCGCGACUUAAAAUACAUUCACUAGUACGCCUUCCGGCUUAAGCUACUAGCUGACAGAGUUAAAAGACAUUCGUGUCUGGCACUGUCUGGCUUCUGUAGUGCUACAGCUGCGGCGUCACUGGUAUAUUAAACACCUUACAGUAGCUACCGUUACGGUAGUUGAUUGUGACUUUGAUCUCAAAUCAGGUAAGACUACCCGCUGAACUUAA
rnacentral:misc_RNA from 1 species